rnacentral:rRNA from 1 species
GAUGAACGCUGACAGAAUGCUUAACACAUGCAAGUCAACUUGAACUUCGGUUUGGGUGGCGGACGGGUGAGUAACGCGUAAAGAACUUGCCUCACAGAUAGGGACAACAUUUGGAAACGAAUGCUAAUACCUGAUAUUAUGAUUAUAUGGCAUCGUAUAAUUAUGAAAGCUAUAUGCGCUGUGAGAGAGCUUUGCGUCCCAUUAGCUAGUUGGAGAGGUAACGGCUCACCAAGGCGAUGAUGGGUAGCCGGCCUGAGAGGGUGAUCGGCCACAAGGGGAAUGAGACACGGCCCUUACUCCUACGGGAGGCAGCAGUGGGGAAUAUUGGACAAUGGACCAAGAGUCUGAUCCAGCAAUUCUGUGUGCACGAUGAAGUUUUUCGGAAUGUAAAGUGCUUUCAGUUGGGAAGAAAAAAUGGCGGUACCAACAGAAGAAGUGACGGCUAAAUACGUG